ensembl:snRNA U6 U6 spliceosomal RNA
AUGCUCACUUCAGCAGCACAUAUACUAAAAUUCGAAUGAUACAGAGAAGAUUAGCAUGGCGCAUGUGCAAGGAUGACAUGCAAAUCUGAAAAGAUAAUUUAUUAUUU